AGGGCGAUUUCCCGCGUGUUGAUCAGCACCACAUGAUCUCCGCAGUCAUCUGGAAAAUUACAUGUACGGUUUUUAUUGGAUGGCCGUUGGGGAUUACUUGCUUAACCUAAAAGUACAAUAAUCACUGGUCAAAAAAAGCAGCAACAACAACAACAACUAAGAAAACACGCCGGUGAUGUAACGACACCGAAAUGCCCAAAAAACGGGCUUAACUCAAACGACGUCGAGAUGGAAACUAAGCCAAAACUGCACCGACGGAUAAUACUUACUCAUUGGGUGGUAAAUGGGCUUCUGGAGGCCCAUUAAAUGCGAUUUAACCAGUUUUGCCGACUCGAAUGGAUUCUGCCAGGUGCAAUCGUAAAUGUGCCAAGUGCGCGCGAACGUUGCCCAUUGCUAAAUUCGGAGGAAAUUGAGUGAUUACCUAUUGCACUUUGAGGGUAAUGAGCUUACGCACCUGCACACGCUUCGCAAUGGACAUUUUGUGUGAUUUUUAAUUAAACAAUUUAACUUUA